rnacentral:rRNA from 1 species
UACGGAGGGGGCUAGCGUUGUUCGGAAUUACUGGGCGUAAAGCGCACGUAGGCGGCUUUGUAAGUUAGAGGUGAAAGCCCAGGGCUUAACCCUGGAAUUGCCUUUAAGACUGCAUCGCUAGAAUUGUGGAGAGGUAAGUGGAAUUCCGAGUGUAGAAGUGAAAUGCGCAGAUAUCAGGAGGAACACCGGUGGCGAAGGCGGGUCUCUGGGCCGAUACUGACGCUGAGGAGCGAAAGCGUGGGGAGCGAACAGG